AGAGUUUGAUCAUGGCUCAGAAUCAACGCUGGCGGCGUGCCCCAGACAUGCAAGUCGAACGCGAAAGCCCUUCGGGGCAAGUAGAGUGGCGCACGGGUGAGUAACACGUAGGUAAUCUACCUUUGGAUUGGGAAUAACAACCGGAAACGGUUGCUAAUACCGAAUAAUGCAGCGGCACCUAAUGGUGACAGUUGUUAAAGCGGGGGAUCGCAAGACCUCGCGUCUGAAGAGGAGCCUACGGCAGAUUAGCUAGUUGGUAAGGUAAUGGCUUACCAAGGCGAUGAUCUGUAGCCGGCCUGAGAGGGCGGUCGGCCACACUGACACUGACAUACGGGUCAGACUCCUACGGGAGGCAGCAGUCGGGAAUUUUGGGCAAUGGGCGAAAGCCUGACCCAGCAACGCCGCGUGAAGGAUGAAAUCCCUCGGGAUGUAAACUUCGCAAGAACGGGAAGAAUUAGUGAGAGCUAACAUCUCUUACGAUGACGGUACUGUUUGUAAGCUCCGGCUAACUCCGUGCCAGCAGCCGCGGUAAUACGGGGGGAGCAAGCGUUGUUCGGAUUUACUGGGCGUAGAGGGCGCGUAGGCGGCCACCGCAAGUCGACUGUGAAAUCUCCGGGCUUAACCCGGAACGGUCAGCCGAUACUGCGGGGCUAGAGUGCAGAAGGGGCAACUGGAAUUCUCGGUGUAGCGGUGAAAUGCGU
rnacentral:rRNA from 1 species